rnacentral:rRNA from 1 species
AUGUUCUCGUCGCAGUCACUCAGUCGCGUCAACAACAUCUGCACAAUGAUGAUUAACAUGCAGAAGGGAAAUCAAUCGGUAGCCUCCUUCUUCGCCGCCAUGAGGGGUCUCGCCGAUGAACUCGCUGCGGCGGGAAAACCUAUCCAAGACGACGAGCUGAUAUCCUACAUCAUCCAUGGGCUGGACCAAGAUUACCAGCCCCUCGUUUAUGCUCUGGAUGCCCGUGUCACCCCGGUAACCCUUGAUGAACUCUUUUCCAUGCUCAGUAACUUUGAUCAACACAUGGCACAGUACCACGGCUCCAGUGGU